GACGAACGCUGGCGGCGUGCUUAACACAUGCAAGUCGAACGGAAAGGCCCUGCUUUUGUGGGGUGCUCGAGUGGCGAACGGGUGAGUAACACGUGAGUAACCUGCCCUUGACUUUGGGAUAACUUCAGGAAACUGGGUCUAAUACCGGAUAGGAGCUCCUGCUGCAUGGUGGGGGUUGGAAAGUUUCGGCGGUUGGGGAUGGACUCGCGGCUUAUCAGCUUGUUGGUGGGGUAGUGGCUUACCAAGGCUUUGACGGGUAGCCGGCCUGAGAGGGUGACCGGCCACAUUAGGACUGAGAUACGGCCCAGACUCCAACGGGAGGCAGCGGUGGGGAGUAUUACACAGUGGGCGGGAGCCUGAUGCAGCAACGCCGCGUGCGGGAUGACGGCCUUCGGGUUGUAAACCGCUUUCGCCUGUGACGAAGCGUGAGUGACGGUAAUGGGUAAAGAAGCACCGGCUAACUACGUG
rnacentral:rRNA from 1 species